rnacentral:lncRNA from 1 species
CCCCCACACACAUACACAUACACACACACACGCAGUCCCCGCCCUCCCCCCGGCCCCCCUCAGUCAGCGGGCCUCCUCUCCCCUGCCCCUGCCCCUGCCCCUCCCCCACCCGAUCUCCCGCGUCCUCGGGGAUGUCCUGCAGGGCCGUACGGGGAGGGGGAAAACACACAUGCAUACAUACAUACUGAGGCACAUGUUCUCAAAGUUGUCAAGAAGUGGCUGGGUCAGGCCAGGCCAGGCCGGGUUUCACGAUCGCCAUCAGUGGAUCAGCACCCGUCAGCACCUAACUAACUAACUAACUAACCAACCAGCAGUGCACCCGUCAGCAACUCGUCUUUCCCGUCUCCCUUUCUCAAUCAACACAGCUGCUCGUUAGCUGCAGUAGCUAAGCUGCUGC